rnacentral:rRNA from 1 species
UACGGGGGGGGCAAGCGUUGUUCGGAAUUACUGGGCGUAAAGGGCUCGUAGGCGGCCAACUAAGUCAGACGUGAAAUCCCUCGGCUUAACCGGGGAACUGCGUCUGAUACUGGAUGGCUAGAGGUUGGGAGAGGGAUGCGGAAUUCCAGGUGUAGCGGUGAAAUGCGUAGAUAUCUGGAGGAACACCGGUGGCGAAGGCGGCAUCCUGGACCGACACUGACGCUGAGGCGCGAAAGCUAGGGGAGCAAACAGG